UACGAAGGGGGGCUAGCGUUGCUCGGAAUCACUGGGCGUAAAGCGCACGUAGGCGGACUCUUAAGUCGGUGGUGAAAUCCUGGAGCUCAACUCCAGAACUACCUUCGAUACUGAGAGUCUCGAGUCCGGGAGAGGUGAGUGGAACUGCGAGUGUAGAGGUGAAAUUCGUAGAUAUUCGCAAGAACACCCGUGGCGAAGGCGGUUCUCUGGGGACGGUACUGACGCUGAGACGCGAAAGCGUGGGGAGCGAACAGG
rnacentral:rRNA from 1 species